GACGAACGCUGGCGGCGUGCUUAAUACAUGCAAGUCAACUUGACUUUAGAUAGCAAUAUCGAAAAGUAGGGUGGCGCACGGGUGCGUAACGCGUAGGUAAUCUGCCCUGAGGUCUGACAUAACCCGUCGAAAGGCGGGCUAACAUCAGAUGAUAUAUAAUCACGACAUCGUGGAAAUAUCAAAUCUUCGGAGCCUUGGGAUGAGCCUGCGUCUGAUUAGGUAGUUGGCGGAGUAAUAGCCCACAAGCCUACGAUCAGUAGCUGGUCUGAGAGGAUGAUCAGCCACACUGGAACUGAGACACGGUCCAGACUCCUACGGGAGCAGCAGU
rnacentral:rRNA from 1 species